GGAGGAGUGGGAGAUUUUUAUUACAUACGAGCAGGCAAUUAGCAUCGCAUAAAGAUGGUGUGUUGAAUAGAUGGGGGUUGCAUCUGUUCUUCUUUUCUUUCUCUUUUUGUAAUCUUAGGCUCAUCGUUAAUGAUGAUGAUGUUUUUAUGUGGCUGGAGAGAAGUCAAUCUAAUCUUUUCAUUUGAAAAGAAUGGCUAUAAUGUUUAUGUAAAUUAUGAAAGAAAUUGGGCAUGAUUUUAACUUUCAAUCUUUGUAUGUCAUCAAUAUUCAGGAAAUAUUCGUUUAUGCAAAUCCUGGAGAACAUGGAGUUCCCCGGAGUUAAUCUCAGUGUCCCCAUUGGCAGUUGUUGGUGGGCAAGAGACCUCCCUUCUGUUAAGGGGAAGAAAUCUGACUAAUCCUGGCACCAAGAUCCAUUGCACUUAUAUGGGAGGAUACACAUCAAUGGAUGUCAUUGGGUCAACUUCUCCAGGAGCCAUGUAUGAUGAGAUAAAUGUGAACGGUUUUAAAAUUCAUGGGGCUUCUUCUAGUGUUUUGGGUCGCUGUUUCAUUGAAGUGGAAAAUGGUUUCAAGGGCAACAGUUUUCCAGUAAUAAUAGCCAAUGCUACAAUCUGUAAAGAGCUGAGACUUCUUGAAUCUGAGUUUGAUGAAGGGGCUAAAGACAGUGAUAUCAUUUCAGAAGAACAAGCUCAAUGCUUGGAUCGGCCUAGGUCAAGGGAGGAAGUUCUGCACUUUUUGAAUGAACUUGGAUGGCUAUUCCAACGGAGAAAAGUGUCUUCUAUGUUUAAGCUUCCAGAUUAUUCACUUAGACGGUUCAAGUUUUUACUCAUUUUCUCAGUUGAAAGAGACUAUUGCGUGUUGGUCAAAACAAUUUUGGACAUGCUGGUAGAAAGAAAUUUGGACAUGAGUGGGCUAUCCAAGGAGUCAUUGGAAAUGCUUUCUGAGAUCCAGCUUGUGAACCGAGCUGUCAAAAGGAAGUGCAGGAAAAUGGUGGACUUGCUCAUCCAUUAUUCCAUUAAUGGCAGUGAUGUUUCCUCUAAAAAAUAUAUUUUCCCACCAAAUCUUGCUGGACCUGGUGGUAUCACAUCUCUACAUUUGGCUGCUUGCACUUCAGGUUCUGAGGAGUUAGUUGAUGCUUUGACAAAUGACCCACAGGAGAUUGGGUUGUCCUGUUGGAGUUCUCUUCUGGAUGCAAAUAGUCAGUCUCCAUACGCUUAUGCUGUUAUGACGAAUAACCACUCUUAUAACACGAUGGUGGCUCGUAAACUUGCUGACAAAAGAAAUGGUCAAGUUUCUGUAAUAGUUGGAAAUGAGAUGGGGCAACCAUCGUCUUCAGGGAUGACAUCAAAUUUUCAGCAAGGGCGCGGAUCUUGUGCAAAGUGUGCGGCUGUGGCAGCAAAAUACAACAGAAGGGUUAUGGGUUCUCAGGGCUUGCUUCAGCGUCCCUAUGUUCAUUCAAUGCUCGCCAUUGCAGCUGUAUGUGUUUGUGUGUGUCUGUUCUUGCGAGGUGCCCCAGAUAUUGGCUUAGUUGCUCCCUUCAAAUGGGAAAAUUUGGAUUAUGGCACCAUAUAGUGAUAACAUGAAACUUUUUUGGUGAGAAACAGAAAGGAGUCAAAGAAAUAACCUACUUGGAGCAGACAAAAAGCUUGCAAUCAAAGAUAUUUGUCCAUAUGAUGCAGUUAUUUCUGGAAAGGAAAAUGAGUUAUGCCGUUAGGGCAGGGGGUUCCCUGCCUAUUAGAGAGGAGGAAAUAGGUGCAGCUGCUGGCAUCAAAUGUUGCCUGCAAAUGUUAACAAACCUGAGUAGGCUAUGCCCUUUUAUUGCUGUUUACUGUUUGGGAUCACAAAAUGUCUCUGGAGUCUUGAAGAGAACAGCUGUUGGAUGCAGUAUGAGCUGGGAGAGAGCAGAAAUCUGAAGGACCAUUUUCAUUGAAGUGUAAACCCAGGCAAAGGGAAAUAUUCUAAUUUAUAUAAGCCGUUUCUUCCUUAUUGAUUUCUUCACCACCCCCCACCCACCCCCCGAGAGCUACUAAGUUUGGCGUAUUACUGACAAUGUAUUUGAUUUCUUUACUGUAAAGUUGAUCAUUAGGAUCAGUCACAGAGCUGAAAUAUUUUAUGAGCCAAUAGUGAAAUAUUUGUUAAAUUAUAUUUGAAAUAACAGGCAUGUUCCAUCUAUCAGCGUGGGCUUGGCUUUUCUUCCCUGCUCGUCUCAUUCCUUUUUUGGUCUCAUCACUUGUUAGUGGGUUGAGGUGAGGACCUUCUAGUUUUAAGAUGAUGCUCAGAUAUAAGCUGUGAGGAUUCUCAUCUUUUAAUAAUUUAUUCCAUCUUAUUUUAUGAGAAUUAAACUUUAAAAUCUAAUCUAAUAAAAUCUUUAUUUG
rnacentral:misc_RNA from 1 species